rnacentral:tRNA from 1 species
UCCGUGAUAGUUUAAUGGUCAGAAUGGGCGCUUGUCGCGUGCCAGAUCGGGGUUCAAUU